rnacentral:rRNA from 1 species
UACGGAGGGUGCAAGCGUUAUCCGGAUUCACUGGGUUUAAAGGGUGCGUAGGCGGCCAGGUAAGUCAGUGGUGAAAUCUCUGGGCUUAACCCAGAAACUGCCGUUGAUACUAUUUGUCUUGAAUAUCCUGGAGGUAGGCGGAAUAUGUCAUGUAGCGGUGAAAUGCUUAGAUAUGACAUAGAACACCGAUAGCGAAGGCAGCUUACUACAGGAUGAUUGACGCUGAGGCACGAAAGCGUGGGGAGCAAACAGG